rnacentral:piRNA from 1 species
GGGACAAAUGGGAAUGUCAGCAGCCA